GGAAAACAUCUCAUGGGAAAUUAAAAAUUAUCCUGAAUUAAAUGAAAAUUAAAAUACAAUUCACCAAAAUUUGUGAGAUGCAGGAAUUUAUAGCAUCAAAGGCAUAAUUAGAAACAAAGAGUAAUCCUCAUGACUUGGGAGGCUGAGGCAGGAGGAUCACAAGUUUGAGGCCAGUGUGGGCAACUUAGCAAGACCUUAUCUCAAAAUGAAAAAUAAAAAGGACUGGGGAUGUAGCUCAGUGGUAGAGUGCCCCUGGGUUUAGUUCCCAGUAAUGGAGACAGACAAGAGAGACAGAGACAGAGGAAGCAAGGAUAAGAAGAGCAAAUUAAACCCAAAUUCAUCAGAUGAAAGGAAAUAACAAAAGUUUGGGAAGAAAUUAAUAGAGAAAAUCAAUGAAACCAAAAAUUAGUACUUUGAAAAGAUCAAUAAAAUGGAUAAACCUCUACCGAGACUAACCAUGAAAAC
rnacentral:lncRNA from 1 species